rnacentral:rRNA from 1 species
GUCAUUAAAGACCUAGUAAUAGGUAUGCUUAGGGAGGAGCUUGCGUCACAUUAGUUAGUUGGGGGGGUAAAGGCCUACCAAGACUAUGAUGUGUAGCCGGGUUAAGAGGCUGAACGGCCACAUUGGGACUGAGACACGGCCCAAACUUCUACGGGAGGCAGCAGUAGGGAAUUUUCGGCAAUGGAGGAAACUCUGACCGAGCAAUGCCGCGUGAACGAUGAAGUAUUUCGGUACGUAAAGUUCUUUUAUUAGGGAAGAAUAAAUGAUGGAAAAAUCAUUCUGACGGUACCUAAUGAAUAAGCCCCGGCUAACUAUGUGCCAGCAGCCGCGGUAAUACAUAGGGGGCAAGCGUUAUCCGGAAUUAUUGGGCGUAAAGGGUGCGUAGGCGGUUAAAUAAGUUUAUGGUCUAAGUGCAAUGCUUAACAUUGUGAUGCUAUAAAAACUGUUUAGCUAGAGUAAGAUAGAGGCAAGUGGAAUUCCAUGUGUAGUGGUAAAAUGCGUAAAUAUAUGGAGGAACACCAGUAGCGAAGGCGGCUUGCUGGGUCUUUACUGACGCUGAGGCACGAAAGCGUGGGGAGCAAACAGGAUUAGAUACCCUGGUAGUCCCCCGCCGUAAACGAUGAGUACUAAACGUUGGGUAAAACCAGUGUUGAAGUUAACACAUUAAGUACUCCGCCUGAGUAGUACGUACGCAAGUAUGAAACUUAAAGGAAUUGACGGGACUCCGCACAAGCGGUGGAUCAUGUUGUUUAAUUCGAAGGUACCCGAAAAAACCUCACCAGGUCUUGACAUGCUUUCUGCCAAAGCUGUAGAAAACACAGUGGGAGGGUUAUCAGUUGUACAGGUGGGUGCAUGGGUUGUCGUCCAGCUCCGUGUCGGGGAGAAUGUUGGGGUUAAAGUCCCCGCAAACGAAGGGCAACCCCUUAUUUGUUUAGUUUACCCAGCCACGUAAAUGGGUGGGGGACUUUUAGCCAAGAACUGCCCAGUGGAUAAAAUUGAGGAAGGUGGGGACGACGUCAAAUCAUCAUGCCCCUUAUGACCUGGGCUACAAACGUGAUACAAUGGCUGUUACAAAGGGUAGCUGAGGCGCAAGUUUUUGGCGAAUCUCAAAAAAACAGUCUCAGUUCGGAUUGAAGUCUGCAACUCGACUUCAUGGAAAGUUGGAAUCGCUAAGGAAUCGCGAAUCAU